ACGAACGCUGGCGGCGUGCUUAACACCUGCCAGUCGAACGGAAAGGCCCUGCUUUUGUGGGGUGCUCGAGUGGCGAACGGGUGAGUAACACGUGAGUAACCUGCCCUUGACUUUGGGAUAACUUCAGGAAACUGGGGCUAAUACCGGAUAGGAGCUCCUGCUGCAUGGUGGGGGUUGGAAAGUUUCGGCGGUUGGGGAUGGACUCGCGGCUUAUCAGCUUGUUGGUGGGGUAGUGGCUUACCAAGGCUUUGACGGGUAGCCGGCCUGAGAGGGUGACCGGCCACAUUGGGACUGAGAUACGGCCCAGACUCCUACGGGAGGCAGCAGUGGGGAAUAUUGCACAAUGGGCGGAGGCCUGAUGCAGCAACGCCGCGUGCGGGAUGACGGCCUUCGGGUUGUAAACCGCUUUCGCCUGUGACGAAGCGUGAGUGACGGUAAUGGGUAAAGAAGCACCGGCUAACUACGUG
rnacentral:rRNA from 1 species